GAUUAUAAACUGUUAUGAACCCUGGAGAGUGCUAUUAUGAAUAAUGUCUUGGCUUGUUGUGGCAAUGUUACAAGGUAAAGGAGGUGUCCAUUACUGUGAAGAACACAGCCUCGUUUACCAUCUUAACACUGAGCUACGCAGACAACUCAGCAAGUUAGUACCCAACUUCACCACUUUAUCAUCAUCGCAGAAGGCGGAAAGUUGUGUCUUUUUUAUUUAUCUCUUUGCAAAAUCUUACCACUGGAUGUCUGCACUAUUCACGUUUGACAGGACACUGAGUGUACGCACUGGAAUCCUGAAUUUGGGUCUGGCUCUCUACUAAGGGCGGUCGAGCCUACGGCGGAGGGAAACGUCACCUGGACAUCUUUAGCUGAACAGUUCAGCAAACAGUUUAAAGGAAGGAGGGCUAGCAAUGAGACACACCACUGCUACAGGAGGUGCUGCAUGAACUCGACCAGAUUUGAUGGAUGGCCCACAGCUGUUUGUAGUUGUGUCACUCUGCAGAACAUUACGCCUCUCUCCUUCUCUUCUCUCUAAUGACAUGGGGGCCAGAAUCUCUGAGCCCCCUGCGGCCGCACAGCUGCACAUCACUUCUUGUGGGCUUCCUUGGAUCUACCGAGCUCAACGUAUUCCAGCCCAAACAAACCUCCGAAUACCGCACGCGCGUGCCAGCAUGUUGGCUAAACCCACUGAAAGCACAUGCCGCCAAUUUAAUCCCCCACAACGCCUGGCACCCUAUAAUAGGGCCACCAGGGACCAGGAGCAGUGAAGUCCUUCAGCUAACAGGGGUGAUGCAUAGCAGGAAAAAAACCUGACCCGGAAGCUGCCCUUCUAUCCACCAGCUUUCAUUUUAACUUCGCUCAAAUGCUUGUGUAUCCUGGUUUCCUACUUUCCAAACCAAUUUGUUUUAACUGAAUAAAUCCUUCUCUAGAGCUGUUGCUUUUUUCUUUCUCCCAUGAUUCUCCUGCAUAGCCCCUGCUUAAGCUUGGCCUUUUUCUUCAUGAAG